rnacentral:rRNA from 1 species
UACGUAGGGACCAAGCGUUGUUCGGAUUUACUGGGCGUAAAGGGCGCGUAGGCGGCGUGGUAAGUCACUUGUGAAAUCUCUGAGCUUAACUCAGAACGGCCAAGUGAUACUGCUGUGCUAGAGUGCAGAAGGGGCAAUCGGAAUUCUUGGUGUAGCGGUGAAAUGCGUAGAUAUUGGGAAGAACACCGAUGGCGAAGGCAGCCAUCUGGACCGACACUGACGCUGAGGCGCGAAAGCGUGGGGAGCAAACAGG